CUCUAGAGAUAGAGCCUUCCCCUUCGGGGGACAAAGUGACAGGUGGUGCAUGGUUGUCGUCAGCUCGUGUCGUGAGAUGUUGGGUUAAGUCCCGCAACGAGCGCAACCCUUAAACUUAGUUGCCAGCAUUUAGUUGGGCACUCUAGGUUGACUGCCGGUGACAAACCGGAGGAAGGUGGGGAUGACGUCAAAUCAUCAUGCCCCUUAUGAUUUGGGCUACACACGUGCUACAAUGGACAAUACAAAGGGCAGCUAAACCGCGAGGUCAUGCAAAUCCCAUAAAGUUGUUCUCAGUUCGGAUUGUAGUCUGCAACUCGACUACAUGAAGCUGGAAUCGCUAGUAAUCGUAGAUCAGCAUGCUACGGUGAAUACGUUCCCGGGUCUUGUACACACCG
rnacentral:rRNA from 1 species